AUCCAGUUGAUCAGUCCCAAUUAGGACGAAAUGCACGUCUUGGAU
rnacentral:hammerhead_ribozyme from 1 species